ACAGUCUAUUUUUUCUUGUGUUUAUUUUUUGAAGCCUGUUUCUCCCCAGGAAGUUGAAUGUAUGAGUAAGAGUUUGAUAUUAUCUGCCCCUUGCUGUGGAAAAUGUCAAAGACAUGUCAUGACAAAUGCCACUGCUCUCCUGUUUCAUAGGCAGGAGCAUCAGUUGCCAGUCACACAAACUGGUGGUGUAUAUUACCAAGGAAGUACGGCUGGCUUUUACCCAAAUCCGUAUUUGUGGAAGAAAAAAUGCCUGUGCGUUCCUUUUGUGGCAGAAAUGAAAACCAAGAUCAAUGACUUACUCUUCUUAAGUCUUACGUGCAAGAACUUAACACCCCACUGA
rnacentral:lncRNA from 1 species